rnacentral:rRNA from 1 species
UACGUAGGGGGCAAGCGUUGUCCGGAAUGACUGGGCGUAAAGCGCGCGCAGGCGGUCUUUUAAGUCUGAGGUGAAAGGCUGGGACUCAACCCUGGCAUCGCCUUGGAAACGGGAAGACUUGAGGACUGGAGAGGCAAGGGGAAUUCCACGUGUAGCGGUGAAAUGCGUAGAGAUGUGGAGGAAUACCAGUGGCGAAGGCGCCUUGCUGGACAGUGCCUGACGCUGAGGCGCGAAGGCGUGGGGAGCAAACAGGAUUAGAUACCCUGGUAGUCCACGCGGUAAACGAUGAGUGCUAGGUGUCGGAGGGUACCACCUCCGGUGCCGAAGGAAACCCAAUAAGCACUCCGCCUGGGGAGUACGGUCGCAAGACUGAAACUCAAAGGAAUUGACGGGGGCCCGCACAAGCAGUGGAGCAUGUGGUUUAAUUCGAAGCAACGCGAAGAACCUUACCAGGACUUGACAUCCCCCUGACGGGAGUAGAGAUAUUCCGUCCCUUCGGGGCAGGGGAGACAGGUGGUGCAUGGUUGUCGUCAGCUCGUGUCGUGAGAUGUUGGGUUAAGUCCCGCAACGAGCGCAACCCUUGAUCAGUGUUACCAGAACGUAAAGGUGGGGACUCACUGAUGACUGCCGGCGAUAAACCGGAGGAAGGCGGGGAUGACGUCAAAUCAUCAUGCCCCUUAUGUCCUGGGCCACACACGUGCUACAAUGGGCGGUACAACGGGAAGCAAGAGAGCGAUCUGGAGCGAAACCCUAAAAGCCGUUCGUAGUUCGGAUUGCAGGCUGCAACCCGCCUGCAUGAAGCCGGAAUUGCUAGUAAUCGCGGAUCAGCAUGCCGCGGUGAAUCCGUUCCCGGGCCU